GGCAGGUGUAUGAUAAACUCCAGCAAUCCGAGAACGACGUAUGACGUCAUCCAUUCAUAAACAAGUCACGUGAUCACAACAUAUCGCCCGUCAUAACACACAGCAUAGCGGGGUUUAUCUGCCGGUACCUAUAUCCGUCCAUGGCUCCCCUAGAGUGGUUCCUGCCUGUCCAGGUGCUUGUCACCCUGGGGCUGUGGGUUGGAGCCCUGUGGGGCAUUGCCGGAGUGUGCCCGGGGUACCUACAAGGACCCUAUCGCGGGUAGUUGUCGGGAGUGCAGCUCGCUAUGUGAUCGCGCUGAGGAACAGAAGACGGAACCCCUAUGUGCCUCCUACUGUCACGAUUACAACCGGACCAGGUGUCAUCCCGGCUCCUACUUCAGCGUCAGUCUCAACGCCUGUGGUAGCUGCACAGUGCUGUGCUCACAGGAAUCAAAAGCAUCGGAAUGCCGGGAACAUUGCGGACCAGACUUCAGCGCCAGUAUCGCCAAGGCUCAUAAAAGACUGAGCACAGGGAUGGUUGUCCUGAUUGUGUUCAUUGUCAUCGUUGUCUUCAUCCUCGGCAUCUUCGGCGCUGUGCACUUCCUCAAACCGGGCAGUCGACUGUCGUGGAGAAGCAGCAACCCAUACCGCCGACCUCAGUCGGCUCCCGAUGACUUUGAUGACCCUCACAGUAUUUUCUCUUCUAAUGGUAUGCAAUAUUCGUGUGACAGUGCUUUCCCCUCAAAUGAUGACUUGGCACCCUUGGAAGAGGAAGAUCACAAGAACCCUAUGGGAUUCUCGGAUUUGAACCUUACCAUACAGAACAACCCAGUGACGUAGGCACCGUGGCUACCUUGUGAUUACAUAGAAAACUUGGCACUGGCCAUUUGGCGUUACUUAUUAGUCCUGAAGAUUGAUAACAUCGUGAUUCCUUGCACUGAAGAAUGUUCACAUGUGUUACCCAAACGACAUGCCACCACUCGUAUAGCAGCACUGUUUCGUGGGACACCCGGUGUCAACUAGAUACAGUUUUAAGAAGGCACUGUUGAAGAACUAUGUUUAUAUCAAUGUGUUUCGUAAUGGCACUGUGAGAAUCCUACAUGUUCCUCGUGAUUCCGCUGUUCUGUUUCUAUGACUUAUAUAUGGCUUUCCAGGGACACAGGUUAUUCCCUAGCGGAAUUAUUGUUCAUGUAAAAACGGUUUUCCAGAUGAUAACUGAAACAUUUAGAUAUAAACAAGAACAUUAUUCCUCGA